rnacentral:rRNA from 1 species
GAUGAACGCUAGCGGCAGGCCUAACACAUGCAAGUCGAGGGGUAACAUAGGAAAGCUUGCUUUUCUGAUGACGACCGGCGCACGGGUGCGUAACGCGUAUACAACCUACCUUUUAGCGGGGAAUAGCCCAGGGAAACGUGGAUUAAUGCCCCAUAGUAUAUAGACUUCUCCUGAAGUUUAUAUUAAACAUUUAUGGCUAUUAGAUGGGUAUGCGUCCUAUUAGUUAGUUGGUAAGGUAACGGCUUACCAAGGCAGCGAUAGGUAGGGGUCCUGAGAGGGAGAUCCCCACACUGGUACUGAGACACGGACCAGACUCCUACGGGAGGCAGCAGUGAGGAAUAUUGGACAAUGGGCGAGAGCCUGAUCCAGCCAUGCCGCGUGCAGGAAGACUGCCCUAUGGGUUGUAAACUGCUUUUACAGAGGAAGAACCACCCCCACGUGUGGGGGUUUGACGGUACUCUGCGAAUAAGGAUCGGCUAACUCCGUG